rnacentral:tRNA from 1 species
GGUCUAAUAGUGUAGAGGUUAUCACACGGGAUUUUGACCUCUCUUGCAUUUCCCGUAACCCAGGUUCGAGUCCUGGUUAGACCC